rnacentral:tRNA from 1 species
CGUUUCGUCCCCGGUGGGGCGUCCCGCCUGCAAAGCGGGUGAUUCGGGUUCGACUCCCGGCGAGGUCUC